GUAGCGCACGGCAAAGCGCUGCUGCCUGGAAAGCAGAAGGCGCGGGUUCGAAUCUCGCC
rnacentral:tRNA from 1 species